GACAAGAAAGAAGAAAUGUUGCAUUUCAAAAUUACGUCAAGAUAAUACGUCUCAGAAAUAAUCUGUGUGGCAGAGCCUGAGGAACUUUAAAACGAACUAAAAUCCGUGUAGAAACUGCGCAUCAUUCCUUGAAUCUCAAGGACGGCUACGAAAACCCCUUUGGUUACUCUUAUCGAAGGACGGUUCUCAUUGGAAGUCAGUAAAGAUUUACACAAAAUAUUAACACAGCAUAUGAAAAUACGGCCAAUCUCGACUUCCGAAACUGUCACGCCCACAGAAAAUAUUUACGUACUUCCCCGGAUAAUUAUCACUUUACAGAUACUCGAACGAGAGAUUUUUCAAUGAGCAUUUGGCCACAGACCGUUUGUCUUUACAAAUAUACCCAGUUGUAACUAACCAAAUGGAUCAACAGAAAACUCGGUAUUUACAUGACAAUAAGAAAAUUAUUGCAACAAACCAAUUUCCUACAAGGUAAUAAAUGAUGGCAGCACACCUAUCGGCGUACGCGUCUUAGGUCCCGAAGGUUUUUCAACAAUCUCAACAUCCACGUCAUCAAGGACUUCUUCAUCUGGUUUGGCCUUUGUUUCUUCAUCAUAGUAACGCUUCUGCGCCUUCUUUUUAGAAGUUUUGGUCUUCUUGAUGCUUUUAUUUGAUUUAUUUAUAACAGCCAACCUUUGCAGUUUGCUGCCAUGAUGUGCCGAUGGUGUACAAAGUGGGGACUUAAAGUUGGUGAAACUACGAUUGACAACGAAACGGGUGGCGAUAGACCGAUUGAUAACGGAGCGGCUUACGAUGGAGUGGUUGGAGCCAAGUUUCCCCAAAGUGAGGCUAUUGGAUUUCCAACACUUAUUUCGAAUCAGUCGAUAUUUGCUUUGAAGAAUCUUGGGUAAUGACGUUCGAGGACUUGCAAUCUUGUUGGCCUUCUUUUUCGUUUUGGCAACCCGAUUAUCCAGUUUAAAGCGUGAAUUGGCUGGGGGCUGCUUUUCAAUUGGCGUACUUGUUAAUUUUGGGGGAGUUAGCGUCUUGAAUAUGUGGUGCUGCCCACGUUGGGUAAAACGAUUGAUUAUCUUCGGAGACUUUACGGCGGAUUUUCGAACCAGUUUAUAGGCAUGUUUAAUGGCGAUUGUUUUUAGUGGGCUCUCCAUUUUCCGCCAUUUAUAUUUACUUUUCACUGAAUUAUUUAUAAAAUUGAACUUUGUCAGUUUACGACGAUCUGCAAGGUGACGAAUGGGACUUGGUUUUGUCUGUUGUUGUUGCGCAAUCUGUUCAGAGUUCUGCAUGUUCAAGGUCGAGAUUGGUUGUUUACUUGCCUUGACUUUUUGCUGAAGAGCCUGUCUGUCCAUAGAUGAAAUUUCAUCAUUUUGAACAAGCACAACUCUCUCAGCAUGAUAGACUUCUUGACAGUUCAAUGGAAUCCCAAUAUUCUUUUCAGAUUGUACAUGAGGGAAGAACUUGGGAUUGACGAUUAUUCUUUUGGGGUUGGGCAAUUCUGGGGGUGGAAGCACAUUUGGUUGAAAAAAGGCUGGGUUGACAUGGACAAAAUUUCCUCUCACUGCAGGAGGGCCAGGUACCACUUGAUUCCACUGCCAGUUCAAGCUUGCAGGAUUUACAUGAAAAUAAUGUGGUGGGUAAUUUCCUAUUACAUUCUGCGGAUUGUUGGGAUUCAUUCCAGAUUUCUAAAAAAAGAAAAAUUCAAUUAUGACAUCAAUACUGCUGUGUACCAUAUUCCAUAUGCAAUGUUCAUUUAACUUAUUAAGUGGUCACACACGAGAUCCAAGAUUUACUGUUUGAUUACAACCCAAAGAAAUAAAAAAUGUUAUCCUGCCCCAGAAA